AUACCUUUCUCGGGCUUUUGGCUAAGAUCAAGUGUAGCAUCUGUUCUUAUCAGUUUAAUAUCUGAUAAGUGAUUUAAUGAACCACACGAUAUUAAAUUAAUUUCUAAAAGGUCCAAAAUGAUAAAGGGCCCAAACGGUAGCUUGUUAUCAUGAACUUUUAGGGUUGGGGUCCUAGAGGGCUAGAGGAGUUACAAUUUUAAAAGA